AGGGUUUGAUCAUGGCUCAGAACGAACGCUGGCGGCAUGCCUAACACAUGCAAGUCGAACGCUAUUUAUAGAGUGGCGCACGGGUGAGUAACGCGUGGGAACCUGCCUUUUUCUGCGGGAUAACGGUUGGAAACGACCGCUAAUACCGCAUACGCCCUACGGGGGAAAGGUCCGCCGGAGAAAGAGGGGCCCGCGUCUGAUUAGCUUGUUGGUAGGGUAAUGGCCUACCAAGGCUACGAUCAGUAGCUGGUCUGAGAGGAUGAUCAGCCACACUGGGACUGAGACACGGCCCAGACUCCUACGGGAGGCAGCAGUGGGGAAUAUUGGACAAUGGGGGCAACCCUGAUCCAGCAAUGCCGCGUGUGUGAUGAAGGCCUUAGGGUUGUAAAGCACUUUCACUGGUGAAGAUGAUGACGGUAACCAGAGAAGAAGCCCCGGCUAACUUCGUGCCAGCAGCCGCGG
rnacentral:rRNA from 1 species